CCCAGCUCAGCAGAGUCUGGCACUGACCCCACUAAUGCUGCCCACCGAGGCAGCUGGGAAUGGGGGGUGGGGAAAAGUUUUAAGGAAAUUUGACUCAAGAUGCAGAUUUUCCAGCUUGAACCUAUUAUCCCCGCUGGUGAAAUACUGAAAACUUUCCAGCAUCUUUUUUUCUGCAUUAACUGAAGGAUUUUUUAAACUCAGCAUGAAAAGAAACUACUUAAUAAUAAGGGCCGGCUUCAAAGUGGCUGCAGACAGGAAAUUGGAAGGUGGAUGCUCUCCCUUUAACCCAUCUCACCAUAUGAAUAGUGCUGCAGAGGAGCUGAGGGGUCUGCCCUGACAGGUGCACAAUUAGGAUAUUUUUUGGCUAAAGAAGAGGAUGAGAAGGAAAAACUUCUGUACCCGCUCUAUAGGAACGUGAACUCUCCUGUAGUCUCCUCAACAGUUUGGAAAAGUGGUGGUGCGAUGGUUUUCUUGCAUGGCACUUGAUACCGAUUAUUUUCUUUAAGUGCCAUUUCCUG
rnacentral:lncRNA from 1 species